ACAGGUGGUCAGGUAGAGAAUACCAAGGCGCUUGAGAGAACUCGGGUGAAGGAACUAGGCAAAAUGGUGCCGUAACUUCGGGAGAAGGCACGCUGACACGUAGGUGAAGUGAUUUACUCAUGGAGCUGAAGUCAGUCGAAGAUACCAGCUGGCUGCAACUGUUUAUUAAAAACACAGCACUGUGCAAACACGAAAGUGGACGUAUACGGUGUGACGCCU
rnacentral:rRNA from 1 species